GGACGAAAUCUUCUCUCCUUUUAGAAUUAUUUCUCCCACACACCUUUUUUGCCCUCUUUCACCGAGGAGGAAAGAAUAAUCUUCCAAGCGGACAGAGACAAAAAUUUCCAUUAGAUUCAUUCCUAAGCUUGCUUUGUUGCAGCAAGAUGAUCAGUCCGAGAGUGCUGGAGAGCCAAAAUUUUCCAUUAGAUUCAUUCCUAAGCUUGCUUUGUUGCAGCAAGAUGAUCAGUCUGAGAGUGCUGGCGAGAAGACAAAGCAGUAAAAACCUAUCUUAUUCAGUCAGCAAGAAGUCGGACAACUCUUUAAUAACCCAGGGUGAUCCGACCCCUUCGACGCUUUUUUCGCUGUAUACCCCCUCCAUCCUUCGGAAGUGGAAGAAAGGGUACUCUAAUUUGAAUACAUAGUAGGGCCCCAGAACGCUAAAAGGUGGGGGAACUAGAGUUGUCACGAUAUAAAAGAUAAAUAAAUAAAUGACUAUAAGGAACCAAUGACUCUCUCUUCUUAAAUAUCUUCCACACUUAAUAAACAUUUGAUAGAUUAUCCAACCCCGAGAAAUAUUAGUUAUUGGUGGGGGUUCGUUGGUUAGCUGUUAUUUGUUUAGUCAUUCAGAUAGUGACUGGCAUUUUUUUAGCUAUGCAUUACACACCUCGUGUGGAUCUAGCUUUCAAUAGCGUAGAACACAUUAUGAGAUAUGUUGAAGGGGGUUGGUUGCUCCGUUAUAUGCAUGCUAAUGGGGCAAGUAUGUUUUUCAUUGUGGUUCACCUUCAUAUUUUUCGUGGUCUAUAUCAUGCCAGUUAUAGCAGUCCUAGGGAAUUUGUUCGGUGUCUCGGAGUUGUAAUCUUCCUAUUAAUGAUUGUGACAGCUUUUAUAGGAUAUGUACUACCUUCGUGGUCUAUAUCAUGCCAGUUAUGGCAGACCUAGGGAAUUUGUUUCGUGUCUUAGAGUUGUAAUCUUCCUAUUAAUGAUUGUGACAGCUUUUAUAUGAUAUGUACUUCCUUGGGGUCAGAUGAGCUUUUGGGAGCUACAGUAAUUACAAGCUUAGCUAGCGUCAUACAUGUAUUAGGAGAUACCAUAGUGACUUGGCUUUGGGGUGGGUUCUCCGUGGACAAUGCCACCUUAAAUCGUUUCUUUAGUCUUCAUCAUUUACUCCCCUUUAAUUUAGUAGGCGCCAGUCUUCUUCAUCUGGCCGCAUUGCAUCAAUAUGGAUCCAAAAAUACAUUGGGUGUACAUUCAGAGAUGGAUAAAAUUUCUUCUUACCCUUAUUUUUAUGUAAAGGAUCUAGUAGGUUGGGUAGCUAUUGUCUACAAGCUUGUGAAAAAACUGAUCAUCUAGUACCGUAAUCCUCUUCAAAUCUCACAUUCAUCUCCACAUCAGUUGAGUCCACUCUCUUAAGCGAACCAAAUUUUCAAAUUUCAACAUGUACCCUUAAAUUACACAUGAGAUCUUCUAACAUACGCAUAAGGAUCAUGCCAAUUAAGAACAGUUUGCAGGAGAUAUCCCACCUACUUCGUCUCAAUUUAGUAUUUCAGCAUGCUUUCCACCAUCAUAUGUGUUACAUAGUCAUUUAGUCUUCCUCGGUCUGAACUCAUUCCGCCACAUGUAAUACUCUUCAUCCCCAUCUGGGAGACACAAAAAUAUUCUUCACGCACCCAUAUUCGGCUACACAUCAAAUCACAAUAGGAAUAGAAUCACUUAACAAUUCAUCUAUUAUCCAGCAGAUUGCUUCGUCACUACCAGGUCAUAUAGAUACAUCUCGCAGUACUAACAUACUCAUCACAUAAACACCACAUCGCCAUUCCGGCUAGUAAGUAAAAUGCCGGACAUAAUCAGUUAAAACACUUGCUCACACAAUCAACACCUGAGUGCUUGAGUCAUAGGCAAAGAUCCGACCUCAAGUUAUCCAGACUGGCCCAACAUCAAACUCGCGGAGAUCACAUCUCGCCCUUUGAUAUGGGAAUCACAAGCCAUAAAGGCACAUACAAUAUUGAGUUCUCAUGCACGCAUACAAACGUUAGGAAGGAAUUUCAAGAGUUAUAUUCCAAGCUGAACAAAUUACGCAUACUAAGAAUUCCAAGAAUGAGAAGUUUUCCUAAAGGUUCUGGAGUCUCUCGAGGACAAAUACAGACGUCUCUAUACUGAUCUGCAAAACUCUACUAACCUGCUCAUGACUCGUGAGACCUAGUAACCUAGGCUCUAAUAACAACUUGUCAUGACUCAAUUCCCAGACCCGGUCGCCAUGGCGCCUCUCGCGGAGACAAGUCAGCCAACAGAACAACAAUGCCUUGUUUAAUAAUUAAUAACUAUAAAUGAAUAAAUAAUACGACUUAUUAGCUUUAGUAACUGAUAUUUAUCACUCAACACAACCCGACUGGGGUGUCACAAGUCAUGAGCAUCUAAAGAAAAUUUACCGCCGCUACAUGCCUAUAUUAUAUACAAAAUAAGAUUUAAAAGCAAAAGAUGAAGUAUGGUUCCGUGAACGUUGGCGCCCACCUUACUCAGCUACAAUAGAAUACCUUCAGUCUAUUAAUAACCCGCUACCGGGUAAACAGUACAUGCAGCUGCACGUGAGGUACAGGGAGUAAAGUGAGUACUCUAACUCUCUGACUAAUAACAUCAAAUAAUAAUUGAGCGGCAAGAAAUCACGUAAGAGCACUCCAUCAUGCAAUAUGGGACAACACAAUAUUUUGAGAAAAAAAGUAAAAAAUUCGGGAAGUCUAAGUCCGCACAUAAGUCAGCCCUUCAGGCACAACACUCCAUUAACAAUUAACACCACGGUAUCUGGUAAUUGUGUAAGAAAUAGCAUAGAUGCCAAUGAUAUGAGAGUGCCGAAUGUCAUGCAACGUAGUACAACCAGGAACCAAUAUAUGAAUGCACAUGACCGCUGUAGCGUGCAGCCCGAUCCAUUUGGGUACCGGGCUCACUGUGGGCGUUCAGACUCCGGAGGGGCUCCUACAACCCAAGCGCAAUAUCAAUAUCACACCGCUUUGGCGUGCAGCCCGAUCCAUGCACAGUCCAGAAUUGCACCUAAGCCACUUAGGCAAUAUCAAUAUAAUAGUUUUCAGCUCAAAACGUCAGUAAAAUAUAUUUAGACUUUUAAAUCUUCGAAAAACGGCUGAGUUUGCAAAAAGUAUUUAAAACUUUGACCGAGAUCAAAUAAUAUGCAGAGUAAUGACAAAACAGUGACAUCAAUCCCUGAAGGACUCAAAUAAUCGGUACGAAGCCCAACAAAUGGCAAACAACCCAAAUCAUAAUAAUAUCAAGUAGUUUUAAUCAAAUAAGUAGUAAUUUCAUCAAUCGGGGUGGACCAAGUCUCAAUCCCCAACGGUGCUCUACCCCACGCCCAUAUCUGGCGUGCAUGUCACCUAUAAAACCCUAUGAUGCGCAAAUACAGGGUUUCAAACCCUCAAGAUAUCAUUUACAAGUAUUAUUCACCUCGAACCGGCGAAAUCUCAAGCCCGCGAUGCCCUUGCCCCUCAAAUCGGCCUCCACGCGCAUCGAAACUAAAAAAAAUCAAGGAGAAUACAUCACAAUACGCAUAGGGAACAAUUUCCAAUUGAAAGCAAUCGAGAAAUAGCAAAAAUCUCGAAACUAACAAAACCUGAACCCCGGGCCUGCUUCUCAAAAAGUUACAAAACUCAUAUUACUGGACUCCUUGUCUCACCACGAGUCCAUACAUACCAGGAACUCCCAAAUUCGAGCUCUAUUGACCUAUCAAAUCCAAAUUUUAAAUAUCAAAAUUCAAGCCCUAACUUUCACCUUUUUAAUGAGUUUCAACAAAUUUCCAUGUUAAAUCUAACAUAAUAUCAUAUAUUUAAGCCAAGGGACUUACCUCCAAUCGAUUCCCAGCCAAAUCUUCCUUAAAUUCUCGCCAAAGGCUCCCAAGGUCGCCCAACAAUAGUGGAAAUUAACCCAAGCUCGCGGAUGAAAUAUUAUGCAAAAACGCUUUUUGAAUAGUCUAGUUUUCGCUUCUGCGGUCCCGCUUUUUCUUAUGCGGGACCGCUUCUACGGCCAUAUUUUUGCUUAGGCGGUCUUCAUUAAACUUUCAAAAAUCUGCUUCUGCGGUCCGCUCUUUUGCUUCUGCGGAACUUGCCUUCUAUCUCCUCGCCGCUUCUAUGAUCACAGCUCCACCUAAGUAGCUCCGCUUCUACGGUCCAACACCCACAGAAGCAAAAAUACCAGAAACAGCAUGCCUUCAGCUGUAUGAAAUUCCAAAAACUCCCCAUUAGCCAUCUGAAAUCAUCCCGAGGCCCUCGGGACCUCAACCAAAAGCACCAACACAACCCAUAACAUCAUUCUAACUUGUUCCAAUCAUCAAAACACAUCAAUCAACACUAAUACCAUCCAUUCAUACAGGAUUCAAGCCUAAGUUUUUUCAAAACUUCCGAAAACACAUUCGAUGAAAAACCAAAUCAAACGACGUCUGAAAGACUUGAAAUUUUGCACUCACGUCUCAAAUCACAUAUCAAAGCUAUAUCAACUCUAGAAAUUCCGUUCCUACCUUAGGAUUAAAAUCACGCCUAUCAACCGGUUUGCUAAAACACUAACUUUGCCAAUUCAAGCCUAAUUCUACACCAGACCUCCAAAAUCAAUUCUGAUCGCACUCUUAAGUCUCAAAUCACUAUUUGAAGCUGACCAAAUUACCAAAAAUCGCAUUGGAGCCCUAUAACUCAUAAGUCAACAUCCAGUUGACUUCUAUAACUUAAGCCUUUCUUCAAGAGACUAAGUGUUUCAUUUCUUAUCAAAAUCAAUUCAAAUCAACUCUAACACACCACCUACCGAUGGCGAAACAUGAAGAAUCAUGAAAUGGGGAAAACAAAGAAAUAACAAGUGAGACGACGGGUCGGAUCGUCACAUUUGGUGAAUAAUAAGCCUUUUGUUUUCUUAGCACCAUGGUCUUUUUGAAGGUAAUUGUUGGGCGAACCGAUUGCCUCAUCCCAACAAUGGAUGAAAUGAAAACAUUUUAAGGGAAUGAGUUUAGUUUUGUGUUUGGGUAAUAAUACCAGUAGUAAUAAAUUAAAAAACCUUAUUUUGUCACGCUCAAAGAGUCAACCAUGCUUCAAACUGUGCCGACACACUUAAUUACGUGCGUAUGGUUAGAGAAAAGGUUUUUGAAAGAGAUAGCUCUAGUUAGUGACAUUAUGACUCUAGAGUUGACUUUGAUAAUCGUCGAGUGGUUUAAUUGGACAACAAUGAUCUUCAAACUUGAAUAUGGUCAUUGUAGGUUCGCAACUCUAUCCUCUUUUACAAUCUACUUGCGUGAGGAAUGAGAUGAAUUAUUUCUAGUCCAAAUAUCCAUGUGAAGGGCAUAGAACUUGCCCAAAUGUGUUUCGAGGCAAUAUCCUAAGUUUUUCUUGGUCUGAGAAGUGAUUGAAGGCUUUCCUUGGCCCAUUGUGCUUUCUAUUGCCAACCAAUUUCAUUAUCCAUAGUCAACCCCGUUGUGACUCUAGCCUUUCUCACUUCAUAACCAUGUUAUAAGACAUUAUCCAUUUUAUUGUGAUCCUAUCUUGCCACUAAGACUAUCCUUAACAAUAUUGUGAAACAAGUGGCUUAAAACAUAAGUUUGGAGGAAAUAAGACGAAUAUGAAAAAGUUGUCAAGGCACAAAACAAGAAAAAAAUGAAUUGUCUCAAGAAUUGGCAAUUGCGAGCCGUGAAAUGGAAGUAUGGAGUACUUAAGGAAAUGUGUACCACUUACCCACCCUCAUACGAAAUAUGCUUCAGAAGGGGAAAGCCUAUGGUAUUUGAAGCAGAAGAUGCUUUGCAACCUAAUCCAUAAUUGUGCAGUUGCAGAAUGCAAGAUCUUUAUAAUUGAAGAAAUAUGCGGGCCGCACAUGGAAUUGUACGAUCGCAGAACCUCACGAAGGGCAUUUUUGUAAGUGAACUUUGUGCCACUAUAAAUAGACGAGUGUGGAAAUUUAUGUCUUCAAAGUUUGAGUUGCCGCAGCCAUUACAUUUUUCCUUCUUAGGAAGUUUGUGACUAUUUUAGUGUAAUUAUAUUUUAUCAUUUUAAUCUUAGAUUAUGAAUUUGGUUAGCAUUUCUUCUUUAUUUUCUUUAAUUCUAACUAUGAGUAGUUAGAUUAUUAUUGGGGUUGUGACCCAACCCUAGUAUGUAAACCUUAAGAGUAGUUAAUUUAAUGUUUAUUUUUUGUUUGGGUGUUGAUUAUUUAGCUUAGUUUAAUCUUCAGCUUCAGAAUUAAUGGUUUCCAAUAUUAAUUCAUGUCUUUUUGACUUGGUCUCUACUUGAAAAAGAGAGACAUAGUGUAGGAUAACUUAGCUAACAAGGAGUUCGGAUAAUAGAGGUUUUGACUAGACUAAUUAGAGGGUUCAAACUAGAGAUAGUGAGAACCCGACUUGAGUUCAUAUGAACUACUUUGUUUGAUACCAAUUUGGACAUGACGAAGCCAAAAUGGAAAAAUCACUCUUCGACCAUGAGGUAUUGAGUGGGUAAUAUAGAUUUGAGAGCUAUAAUACACCCCAAUCAACAAACAAGUAUUAACGUAUUUGAACCAUUAGGCAAAUGCCUUGGUUACGGUCAUAUCCCUAGGCUCUUUAAUGUGAGGACUGUCGCGACCCUUUUUUUCUCGCGAAGUCGGGUUUAUAAUAUUUGGUUAUAAGACAACUCGUUCGUUUUGGGAACUGGGUUUUGCAUUUGAAUAGUUGCCACCUAAUAAUUUAAGGUUCAUUAGGACACCAAUAUGGUUCAAUUAUAAGUUUUGUUUGAAUAACUAGAGAUAGGGUAAGGGCUUGAAUUUAUCCCAAGGGGAAGAAGUUAGGCACCCCUCAGGAUCCACUAGUGUGGUUCCCGGCCAGGUAGUUUAUUGUGAAUUUAGUAAAUACACAAGUAUGGGCUCAAAUAUUACGGGAUUUCAUUUUAAACACAUAAAAGGAAAUAACAAUUGAAAGAAGAGAUUUAAAGGGUCUUAGGUUUAUAUUUCUUAUGGAUAAAAUCAUUGUGAUAGUCAAUAUGGUAGUCCUCAAAAUAGGAAAUACACGUGGUAUUAGCGCAUCGUCAUAUUAUCCAUAUCUACCAUUCUGACCCCGUUAAGGCAUUAAAGUGCGGAUUGGUCUAGAUUACUAUUGCAUGCUAUUACUCGUCCCAUUCAUAUUUGUCCUAGAGGAGCUUAAGACUACUAUUCAUCAAGAGGAGGGAUAUUAGACUGAUUGGAUUCAAAGGGUAAAAUCUAAGGUGACAUACAAAACACAUAUUGCAUGCUGGGGAAAGCAUAUAAACAAAUAAAGGCCCAUAUACGCCUCCUUAAACAAAAAAAAGCACAUAACUACCAUGACUUGCACUUACUUUUUAGGUCUAAUUAAAAUACUAAAGACGAGGGGAGUUUGAUUACUGAAGCAGAUAUGUUUAUUACAUACCUCAGAUAAGAAGUCCGAAUCAGGCCUGCCUGCUUGUUGUAGCAAUUAACAAAAGCAUAUUCAAUUGUAUGAUUAUUACUCUAAGGCUUGCCUAGGUAUUUAGAAGGGGUCCUAUAUGCAUGAUAUCUGCUUAAUUCAGAAUGUGGCGAAACAGUAAUAACUCAAAAUGAAUUGUUUAAACUUCUAUAGGCAUGCUUGGUAAACCUCUUUAAGUAAGGGGAUUAGAUUUUCAAAAACUGAUUAGGAAUAGACUAAUUUUAAAACAGACUAGUUUCAGAUUCUGCAGGUAAUGGUAUCUACUAUUGGUGAUUUAAACCCUAUGGACAUGAUAUCUAACAUUGAAUGUGAAUGGAACGAACCAGAUUUUAUUUAAGAAUCUCAAUAGGCAUGAUUUCUAUAUGGUACUGAUUUCAAAAUUACGAACUUCACACUAAUUUAUAGCCGUUUAGAACCUGAAGCAUGAUGUCUAAGUGGCAUAUAGAAUUUAAAUGCAUCCUAUAGGUAGGUUAUCUAGGUGUGACAUUGACAAUGCAGAAAUUAAAAUAAACCCUUUAGACAUGGUCUCUAAAAAUGCAGAAUUGAUCACAACAUUUUAAUACAGUCCUAUUGGCAUGCUUUCCACCCUUGAGCAUACAUGAUAACCCAUCCCUUUUCACUAGCCAUCCCGAAAAGUUUAUCACAAAUUAUUACAGACCAAAAAUAAUAAACUACACCAGAAAAGUACAAAAAAAAAAGUUACAACCAGAGGAACGUGAUUCUUCACUUCCUCUCUUGUUAUGGAAUAAACCACCUCAAAAUUCCAUUGAUCCAAAGCCUUUUUCUGACUUGAGUGUGUUAGAGUUGCCUAAAGGCCUCAUUACGACCCCCGGCAGUGCUCACAACCAAGUUACAUAACCACAAUAGGGAUGAGUGUAGUGUGUAAAUGCUGUCCCAUAUGUGUCAAAGUUCAGAAAGAACUCAUGGUUCCCUAGGCUAGGCUCACAUAAAGGGGCGGGGACAGAACAUAAGUCUAAGAAAAUAGUGAAAUGCAGUAAUAGAGUUUUAAGAACUGAGGGAAUAAAGGAGAGUGAAAGGGUGAUGGAGGGACAUCCAUUAGCAUUUGAAAGAGUUAAUAACUUCAUAAAAAAGGGGGUCAGGGUUGGAAAUCCAUUGCAAGUAGCCUAUACACUAGGUAUAGGUUAGCUUUGGGAAUGAACAUCAAUGAGAAGCGCUGAAAUGCCUAUAAAUAAGUCAUAACACACAACAUAUAAGAAAAAUAUGAAGGUUAUGAUCCCAAGGGAAUCAGGUUUGUGUCAUGUACAACAAUGUCCAAUGAUGUCAUGCCCCAAACCAACAACAAGUAUUAAACACAUUGGGAUUGGGAUUUAGGAUUCACAAAUCACGAUACAUUUAUUAAGAAGGGGAAAAGGGGAAACUACAUCAUGUUUAAUAAUGAUACUGGGUUAACUACAAACAGUAGACAAACAAGAAUGCAAGAAACAGUUAAUAAGCAUGUUAUUGUUAGUGCAAAAGCUUAAUUAGGACAUACCAGUAAGAAAUGCAAAUGCAAAAAAAUAAGCAAGUUUCAUACAGCCUAUCCUUGGCUUUCAACCGGCUAGGUAUGGCACCAAUAUAGUAGUAACAGAGAAAAUAGAUAUAUUUGGUGGAGUGUGUGUGUGUGAAUUCAAGUGUUUUUACGCCUUAUGUUCGUGUGUUUGAAGGAAAAGAAGUACACGGCAUUUAUAGUUUUUGAAAACGAGUAAGAGAGAGGUAAUAAGCUAUAAAUAUGGAAACAAUCAUCAUUUAGAAUCAAUUAUAGAAGUGAUUGCCUUUAAUUAAGAGAUCACUUGCUUAACGGGCAUUGAUAGGUUCAAAAUAAGGAAAGAAAUCAAUUUUUCCGCAGGCUGGCAGUUGCCAUAUAAGAACUAGUAAAACAUUAAGUAAGUAACUGAGUCUAGGUACAUAAAUACUCUAAUUUUGGAAAGGAUUCAGUAAGGAUAAACAGAAAAAGAAAAUCAAUUAACCUUAACAAGCGAGUGAAAUCACAAAGGAAAAGUUUGAAAUCAGUCACAAGUUUGAACGUUAGUCAAGGAAGGAAACUCAACAUAUAAAUAAGGUGCACAAACAUUAUAAAUGCGAGGCCAAGCCUGUUGGCAAAAGGAAAUAGCAUACAAUAGUAGCACAAAAAAUCAGUAGAUAGCAACAUUCAAAGAAUGAUAGUCAAUUGAAUAAGCAGUGAAGAAACAUAGAAUAUCAAAAGCAUGUGAGGAUCUCACAGUAGCAGGUGAGGAAAAGCCUUUUUGAAAAAUUAGGGUUCCGAGCAUAAUUGAAUUUCAGAGGAGAUAGAAACCCAGAAUCAUAAGAAUCACAUAAAGGAAUAAUGGGUUUCCAAAUAAAGAACUUCAAAUUUAGUCAAGUACUUAAACUAACAGUCUCAAACCUAAAGUAAUAGGGUUUUCCACAAUAGUAGAGUUUUAAAAGAUGGAUAAACAAAUAACCAGACAAAACUGAAGCAAACAAGCAUUCGUCUGAUAAACAGUUAAUAGAAAUUAGGUAUUUUAACAUGCAAACUUAGGUAGAAGAACGAUAUGAGCAAACAUAGAAAAACAUGUCAAAAUUCAGAGAAAAGUUUUGAAAUAACUUAACAAUAACACUAGUCAGAAAAGAUAAGGUAUUUUGAAGGAACAAUUUAUAAAAGAAACUUCGAGAAAAAUACUUAGAAGUUCAGAUCAAACAUAGAUCUGAAAAAGAUCUAAAAGAAAUUGAAAGAACCUUAAAGGUUAGGGUUUCACAAGAACCUAAGUGAUGAGAAAUGCCUUGAAAAUGAUCGAUCUAGAUAAGAGAGUUAAAAGUCUGACUCAUAGAUUCAUGGCUGGCCGGAGAAAGGUAAGAGACGAUCGGAGAACAGCCAUCGAGCAAAGACUUGACAAAACCCCUUAAUGACUGCUCAUGAGACCAUAGAAUUGAACACGUUGAAUCCAUAUGAGGUUGAUAAAGGUCUCCGAUGACCUUGGAAGCCAUAGAUUUUAGAGGUAUUAGGGUUGUAGUUUAAUGGCGGCGACUGGGGUUUGUAGAAGUUGUAGAGAGAAUUGAGAGGAAGGGGGAUUCAAGGGCAACAUUAGGUAAGAAAUGAUUUAGUUUUAGGAGUUAGUUUCAGUUAACAAAGGAAAGGGCAGCCGAUACCCGUUGAUGUAAAUGAUCAAUGGCUGGGAUUUAGAAGGUUAGUUGGGGAUUUGGAUAUGUGUUGGUUUAAUUUGGUUGGGGGUCGGGUAUGAGUAGGAAUUGGGCUAGGGUAAUUGGGUUUAAAUUGGGGUUCAAUUCAAGCUAUAAUUGAAAUAUAAUUAAGCUAGAUUUUAAAUACCCAAUUUUCCCCUUUUUUUAUUCCUGAAAACAAAUUAGAACUAUUAAAAUGAUUUGUAACACAUAUUUAUCAAUUUAAAAAUACUGGACUUAAUUUAUGUAAAUAUAAAUGCAAUUUAAUUUUAAAAGGAGCUAAUAUAAUUAUUAUAUGCAAUUUAGCUUAAAAAAUACUAAAUAUAAUUUUGAAAAUAUAUAAAAAUUGCCUUAACCAUAUUUUGGUAUAAAUAUAGAAAUUCAAUAGAUGAAUUGUCAAAAUGAUAAUUUUGGAAAUAAUUAUUGGGGAUUUUAUGGGUAAAAAGAGGGAAAAAAUCAAUUAAAAAACCUUUUAAAUUUUGACAAAAUAAUAAAACAUUGGGACAUACUUAUAUAUGCAUUUAUAUGCUAUUUUGAAAGUAUUUUUCAUAUAAAAAUAUACAGAAAAAAUUGGGUAUGAACAACGACACAGCCCGUCAUCUCAUGAGCUACUGCUUCAUUUUCCUCCUUUCUGCUUCUUUAUGCUUUUCAAUACAUGUUUUGUGGUAUCGGGUUGGUCGAAUCAAAUUUGGAAUAAUUUUGGUAAGGUUUGGGAAACUUAAUCUUUUUUAAGGAUGAUUAAGUUUGAAAAGUUAACGCGAUGUUAACUUAUGUGUUAGAGGGAUCAGUGAGUUACGAUAAUUUGGUUAGCUUCGGGAGGUGAUUUAUGACUUAGGAGUAUGAUCAGAAUGAGUUUUGUAGGUGCGGAGUAGAUUUAGGCUUGAAUUAGCAAAGUUGAUAUUUUAAUAAUUUUUGGUUGGUAGAUAAGACAUUGAUAUCGGGGUCGGAAUGGAAUUUCGAGAAUAACAGUAUUUUCAUUGGGUAAUUUGGAAUGUGGUUUUUUACUCUUCUCGUUCAUGAGUAAAACCUCGCGUUCACAAAUGAGUCAGUGGGAAUUAGUGGAAUUUUAGUCUUCGCAUUAGCGAUGGAGGAUCCGCGUUUGCGAAGGGACAGAUGAUCGCGCAUUGCAUUCGCGAGAGUGGAACCGUGAUCGCGUAGGGUCUUUUGGUCAGCUGGGCCUGAGGUCGAGUUUGUUCAUCGCGUUCGCGAGAGAAGGUGUGCAUUCGUGAAGGGUAAGUUGAGGAACCAUAGUGUUCACGAGGGUCUUGUCACAUAUUCAUAAGAGAAUUUUGGUCAAACUUAUUUUUAUGCUUCGCGAACGCGAGGCUUUGACCGUGUUCGUGAAGAAGGAAUUAAUGCCUGGGCCGAAGGUUUUUAAGCUCGUCUUGUCCGCGAUUUGGGGCUUAUUUUCCACCAUAGUUGGUCGUUUUUGGAGCUUUUUAAAGUAUAUUGAAGAGGGAUUCAAGUAGAAUCACUUGGAGGUAAGGUUAUUCGACUUAAAACUCGAUUAUUAUGUCAAUUCUACCUAGAAAACCAUGGAAAUAAAGCCAAAAAAUUGAUGAACUAGGACUUGGAAAAUUAGAUUUUUGAUUGUGUAUUUGAAGGGCCAUUUGGGGUCGGAUAUGAGAAACUUUGAUAUGUAUGAACUCGUGGGGAGAUAAGGAAUCUACUGGUGUAAAAAUUAUUGAAUUCUGAGACGUGGGCCCGGGGUCGGGUUUUGGUAAUUUUUAGAUUUGUGUAUUUUAUUAAUUAAUUUCGCUUGGGAUUUGUUCCCUUAGCAUAUAUUGACGCCCUCAUUCUGAUUUUGGAUAGAUUGGACGUCCAUGGAGGCUGAUUCGCGAGACAAAGGCAUCUCGAGCUACAUAUUUGACCGGUUCGAGGUGAGUAAUGAUUGUAAAUGAUGUUCUAACGGUUUGAAACCUCGGAUUUGUACAUCGUAGUACUAUAUUUAGGUGAGACACAUGCUUGAUGACGAGUGACGAGUGUGAGGUCUUCCACUAUUGGGGAUUGCAACUUGGUCCGUCCAGAUUGAUAGUUUUACCGGGUAUUUCACUGAAAUCUAUUUGCUAUCAUCAGUUUUUUGGCUGAAUGCCAUAUGGGCUGAAUGCCAACUAUUUGAACCCUUCGGGGAUUUUUAUUAAUACUUCAUCACUGUUUUGACUUUAUAUUUGAACUCAGUCAUAUUAUUUUUUAUUAUUUUCGUACCCAGCCACGUUUACUCAGUUUUAAGACUUAAAUGAUGUUUGGUUGGGAAACAUUGUUUUACUAUUGACCGGGGGGCUUGUAAGGAUUUUGGGCUGAGUAAGGACGAGGGGAUAUGUUAUGAGGAAACACUGAUACUGAUUUGCGAAGGAGGGCCUGAGAUAUGUAUGCCACGAGGUGGCUUGAUUGAUAUGAGGGUGUAGUGUUGAUACCGCGACAUGGAUUGUUAUGGUACUUGGCCUGUAAGGGGCCCUUCCAGGUGUAUGCACACACCUAGUGAGCGUGGGUACCCAUUGUGAUGUGAGAUUAAGCCUGGGAGGGAGAUUUGUGGAUAUUGUGCCCGAGGUGCGAACUUAUAUUUGUUUACUUUACCUUAACUGCUUGUCAAUUACCUAUUUACUUGUUGAAUAUGGAUUUUACUUAACUUUUCACUGGUUUAUUGCUUUUGAAUAGUUUUACUGCUUCUUUAUUGAAUGCUUUGUGCCUUACAUGUUUUUUUACUUUCAGUCUUUAUUUACCUUAGUUACUCACUGAAUUGGAGUACUCACUUUACUCCCUCCACCCUGUGUGUAGAUUUAGGCGUAGCUGGUCCUGCUCCCGAGUAGUGAUCAUUCCAGCUUCAGACGGAUCAGAGGAGACUUUAGGUAGUUGUUGGGUUUCGUAGCCUGGAGCCCCUCCCCUUCCAUCUUCCUUUAUGUCAUUGUCCAGCACUAAACUCUGUAGUUACAUUUGAGUAUUCAGCGUUGUUAGAUGCUCGUGACUUGUGACACCCCACUUAGGGUUGUGUUGGGUUGUACUUCCGCAUUUUAUUGAUAUUAUCUACUACUUCGUAUUAUUAAUCAUGUUUUAGGAUAUUUUAUUGUUUUUUAACUGUUAAACGUCUAAUUGGAAAUAAAUGGAUGGCCUUGUUUUCACGAGAGGCGCCAUCACGACCAGGCUCGGGUUUAGGGUCGUGACAAGUUGGUAUCAAGGCCUAAGUUUCAUAGGUGUCGCGAGGCAUGAGCAUAUUUAGUAGAGUCUCGUGGAUUAGUACGAAUAUGUUUGUAUUUAUCCUCGAGAGGUUGUAGAACCUUUAGGAAAAACUUCAUAUUCUUGAAAUUCUUGUCGUGCAAAUUUGUUGAUCCAAGUACUAAACUUUUGUUAUUCUAUUCUCUUACAGAUGGUGAGGACACGUGCUACUGGACAGGGUGGAUGACCACCAGCUCCACUAGCUAUGGCCACCAGAGACCGAGGACAUAGUCGUUGUUGUGGUAGAGACACGGUAUCUAGGUCAGCACCUACAGAUCAACUACCUGCCGUAGCUCAGGAUCAAGUUCCAGCUGUGGACAUUCCAGCAGCACCAUCUCGGGCACAAGUUGUGCCCAUCAUGACUUCGGUUCUUCAGGAAGCUUUGGCUCAGAUCUUAUCAGUUUGCACUGGACCAUCUUAGGCGGUUUCAGCCACUACAACCAUAGCUACUUCACAGGCCGAGGAGGCAAUCAAACUCCCGUCGCUUACAUACUUGAGCAGGUCGUCCAUGGAUUUCAGACUUCGAGGGCACAUCCAUCCCAGCCGGUUACAGGUGCUUAGGCCUAUGUAGUUCACGUCAUGCCGUAGGAUGAGUACCGUAGGUUGGAGAGGUUCGGUAAAUUGCAGCAUCCGAUCUUCAGUGGCGCAGAAGGCGAGGAUGCCUAGGGCUUUUUGGAUAUGUGUCAGAGGAUACUCCACACUGUAGGUAUUCUGGAGACCAGCGGGGUCGCUUUUACCACCUAUCAGUUUUUAUGAGCUUCUUUCUUUUGGUGGGAGGAUUUUGAGAGGUGUAGGUCUGUUGGUGCAGCACCCCAUUCCUGGCAGCAGUUCUUCGUUCGAUUUUCGGAGAAGUGUUCCUCGGUCUCGUAUAGAGGAGUUGCGUAGGCAGUUUGAGUGUUUGCGUCAAGGGGAAAUGAUCGUGUCACAGUGUGAGUUGAGAUUCUCUGAGUUGGCUCGUCAUUCCAUCUGGUUGGUUUCAACAGAUCGAGAAAGGAUCAGGAGAUUGUUGAAAGUUUACGUAUCAGCUCUGUAUUCUCAUGACCAUGGGGGGGGUAUCUAGUGCUACUUUCAACGAGGUAGUGGAUAUCACCAGCGAGAUUGAAUUUCUCCGUCGCCAGGAGCGAGAGGAGAGGGAGGCCAAGAGGCCUUGAGGAUCUGGCGGCUACAAUGGUGCUCCUUGGGGGGGGGUCAGUUUUGAGCAAGGCAGAGGUCGUCCAUUCAGGCAUGCUCAGUUACCUCACCUAGGUUAUCGUGGGGCAUCAUUAGGUAAUGGACCCCACAGUUCUCAUCAGGGCCAAUUAUCACUUAGUGCCCUUUCGGCUUAGAGUUGAUCUCAUGCUAAAUCAGUCCAGGGCUCUUCUAUGCCGAGUCCAUUUUCUAGUCACUCUUGUGCGAGGGGUUCGCUUCAGUCCCCUUCUCUAGCACCUGGGAGUUUCUAUGAAUAUCGUGAGAUGGGUCACAUGUGGAGGCAGUGUCCUCGUCAUUUUGCUGGUUCAUCUCAAUAGAUGGGUCAAUCAUUGGCUUCAGCGCCGGUUUCUUCACCACCACCCAUCCAGCUAGCUAGCGAUCUAGGUCAGUUAGCCAGGGGUUGCGAUAUAGGGGUAGGUCGAUAAGGGGGUUUUCAAGCCCAUUUCUAUGCACUCCCAGGCAGACCCGAUGCUAUUGCUUCAGAUGUUGUCAUACAUGUAUUAUUUUAGUCUACCACAGAGAUGCCUUUGUAUUAUUUGAUCCCGGUUCCACCUUUUCUUAUGUGUCAUCAUACUUUGCUUGUUAUUUGGGUAAGACCCAUGAGUUUCUUGGUUUACCUUUUGAUGUAUAUACCUCGGUAGGCCAUAUUACUGUUGUAGGCCGUGUGUACCGGUUGUGUGUGGUGACUACUAGGGGCUUGGAAACCCGAGAGGAUUUGUUAUUAUUGUGUAUGGUAGAUUUUGAUGCCAUUUUGUGCAUGGAUUGGUUAUCUCGGUGUCGUGCUAUUCUAUACCGUCAUGCUAAGACAGUCACAAUUGUUAUGUCGGGUGUGCCACGUAUCGAGUGGCGAGGUGUGACUGAUUAUGUUCCUUUCUUGAAGGCUCAGCGCAUGGUUGGGAACAGUUGUCCUUCGUAUCUAGCUUUUGCGAGGGAUGUCAGAGCAGAACUCCCAGUAUUGAAUCUCUUCCAGUUGAGUGAGAUUUUCUCGAUGUGUUUCCUGUAGACCUUCCGGCAUGCCACCGGACAUGGAUAUUGAUUUUCUUAUUGACCUGGUGCCGGGCCCUCAGUCAAUUUCUAUUCCGUCGUAUUGUAUGGCACCAGCGGAGUUGAAGGAGUUAAAGGAGUAGCUUCAGGAACUCCUUGAUAAGGGGUUCAUUCAGCUUAGUGUGUCGCCUUGGGGUGCACCGGUUCUGUUUGUUGAAAAGAAGGAUGACACAAUGAGGAUGCACAUUGAUUAUAGGCAUUUGAAUAAGUUAACAAUUAAGAACAAGUAUCCUUUGCCUUGCAUUGACAAUUUAUUCGACCAGAUUUGGGGAGCGAGGGUGUUCUCAAAGACUGAUCUCCAUUCAGGUGACCAGUUGAAGAUAAGGGAUUCAUAUAUUCUUAAGACGACUUUCAGGACCCGAUAUUGUCACUAUGAGUUCUUGGUGAUGUCUUUUGGGUUGACAAAUGCCCCAACAAUGUUCAUGCAUUUAAUGAAGAGCGUGUUCCAGCCUUAUCUUGAUUGAUGAUAUUCUAGUGUACUCGCGCAGUCAGGAGGAGCAUGCGGAACAUUUGAGAGUCAUGUUGUAGAGAUUGAGGGAGGAGAAGCUUUAUCAAAUUCUCCAAGUGUGAGUUUUAACUCUGUUCAGUGGCUUUCUUGGGGCACGUGGUGUCUAGCGAGGGUAUUAAGGUUGAUUUGACGAAGAUAGAUGCACUUCAAAGUUGAUCCAGACCGUCCUCAGCCACAGAGAUUUGUAGCUUUCUUAGUUUGGCAAGCUAUUAUCGCCGCGUUGUUCAGGUAUUAUCAUCUAUCGCAUCGCCCUUGACCAAAUUGACUCAGAAGGGUUCUUCAUUUGUAUGGUCAAACAAGUGUGAGUAAACUUUCAGAAGCUCAAGACAGCUUUCACCACAGCUCCAGUGUUGGUUUUGCCAUCAGCUUAAAGUUCAUAUGCGUGCAUUGUGAUGCUUUGAGAGCUGGGAUUGGUUGUGUGUUGAUGUAGGAGGGUAGAUUUAUUGCUUAUUCUUCUCGUCAGUUGAAUCCCAAUGAGAAAAAUUACCCCAUUCACGAUAUAGAGUUGGCUGCCAUAGCUCACACAUUGAAGAUUUGGAAGCAUUACCUGUAUGGAAUAUCUUGUGAGGUGUUCACUGAUCAUCGCAUUAUUCAGCAUUUGUUCAAGCAAAAGGAUCUUAAUUUGAGGCAGCAGAGAUGGUUGGAGUUUCUUAACUAUUAUUAUAUCACUAUAUUUUACCAUUAAGGAAAGGGCAAUGAUGCUUUGAGCCGAAAGGCAGUGAGUUUGGCAUAUAUUCCAGUUGGGGAGAGACCUCUUGCAUUUGAUGUUUAGGUCUUGGAAAACUGGAUCAUAAGGUUGGAUAUUUCGGAGCCUAGUUAGGUAUUGUCUUGUAUGGUUUCUCGAUCUUCCUUAUAUGAUCGUAUCAGAGAGUGUCAGUAUGAUCAUUCGCGUUUGCUAGUUCUUACUGACAGAGUUCAGCAUGAUGAUGCCAGGAUGUGACCAUUGGUGGAUUUGCAUGGCCAAAGUGGAUGGGCUUUGAGAGAUGAUUCUGGAGGAGGCCCAUAGCUCGCGCUGUUCUAUUCAUCUGGGUUCCGUGAAGAUGUAUAAAGUUUUGAGGCAGUACUAUUGGUGGAGAUGAAUGAAGAAAGAUAUUAUGGUAUUUGUAUCUCGGUGUCUUAAUUAUUAACUGGUGAAAUAUAAGCAUCAGAGAUCGGGUGGUUUGCUUCAGCAUAUGGAUAUUCCAGAGUGGAAAUGGGAGAGGAUCACUAUGGACUUUGUUGUUGGACUUUGAUGAAGUUCAAUGCUAUUUGGGUGACUGUGGAUCGGCAGACCAAUUUCGCGCACUUCAUUCCUGUGUGUACUACCAAUUUUUCAUAGCGAUUGGCAGAGAUCUAUUUCCGAGAGAUUGUUCAUUUGCAUGGUGUCCCAGUUUCCAUCAUUUUAGAUAGGGGCACUCAGUAUACAUUGCAUCUUUAGAGGUCAGUGCGACAAGAGUUGGGUACUCAGGUUGAGUUGAGCAUAAUUUUCAUCCUCAAACAGACCGGUAGUCCGAGUGUACUCUUCAGAUAUUAGUGGACAUGUUGUGUGCUUGUGUCAUUGAUUUUGGAGGGUUAUAGGAUCUGUUUCUACAUCUUGAAAAGUAUUCUUACCACAACAACUACCAGUCGAGUUUUCAGAUGACUCCAUAUGAGGGUUUGUAUGAGAGGCAGCAUAGAUCUCCAGUUUCUUGGUUCGAGCCCAGUGAGGCUAGGCUAUUGGGGAAUGAUUUGGUGCAUGAUGCUUUAGAAAAGGUAAAGGUGAUUCAAGAGAGGCUUCGUACAGCGCAAUCGAGGCAAAAGAGUUAUGUUGACAGAAAGGUGAGAUGUAUCCUAUAUGGUUAGCAGGAAGGUUCUGUUGAAGGUUUCAAGCAUGAAGGGUAUUAUGAGAUUUGGGAAGAAAGGGAAAUUGAGUCUGCGUUUCAUUGGGCCUUUUGAGGUUCUUUGGAGGAUCGGGGAUUUGGCUUAUAAGCUUGCUUUUCCACUCAGCUUGUCGAGUGUACAUCCGGUAUUUCAUGUUUUUAUGCUUCAGAUGUAUAUUGGGGAUGCAUCUCAUGUUCUGGAUUUCAGCACGGUUCAGUUGGAUGAUGAUUUGACAUAUGAUGUGGAGCCAGUAGCUAUUUUGGGUCGUCAGGUUCGGAAGUUGAGGUCAAAAGAUAUAGCUUUAGUGAAAGUGCAGUGGAGAGGUCGGCCUGUGGAGGAGGCUACCUAGGAGACUGAGCGGGAGACGCAGAGUAGAUAUACUUACCUGUUUGAGGCCUCAAGUAUGUUUCUUGACUCGUUCGAGGACGAAUAUUGUUUAAGUUGGGAAGGAUAUAACGACCCAACCAGUCGUCUCAUGAGUAAUCACUCUGUUUUCUCCCAUUCUACUUCCUUAUGCUUCGUUAUCUGCUUUUUGUUGUAUUGUGUUGGUCGGAUCGAAUCCGAAAUGAUUUUUGUUAGGUUUGAGACACUUAAUCUCUUUUAAGGAAGGUUAAGUUAGAGAAGUCAACCGAAUAUUGACUUGUGUGUUAAAGGGAUCUGAUGUGAGUUCUGAUGGUUUUUUGUAUCUUUGGGAGGUGAUUUAUGACUUAGGAGAGUGAUCAGAAUAAGCUUUAGAGGUGCGCAAUAUAUUUAGGCUUGAAUUGUCGAAGUUGUUAUUUUAGCGUUUUCUAGUUAGUAAGCAAGAUUUUGAUAUAGUGGUAGGAAUGGAAUUUCGAGAGUUGCACUAGUUUUGUUGGGUCAUUGGGGAUGUAUGUGCAAAUUUUUCAGGUCAUUCGGACAUGGGUUGGUUGGGUUUUUUAUCAAAAGAGUAAUUCGGAAUAUUUUUGAAAGUUUAGCUUGAAUCUGAUGUGUUUUUUGUGAUUGGAUGUUAUUUGUGGUGUUUUGAUGAUUGGAAUAAGUUUGAAUAAGGUAUGAGGAUGUGUUUGUGCCUUUGGUUGCAGGUUCAGAUGUUGCAGGUUUUUACUCUUCGUGUUCGCGAGGGGACCCUUGCGUUCGCGUAGAGUCAGUGGGGAUCAGUGGAAUUUAAACCUUCGCGUUCACGAUGAAGGUUCCGUAGCUUGAUGCUUGUGCAUCAUUUUCACGAGAAUUGAACCGUGUUCGCAUAGGGUCUUUUGGUCAGCCGUGUUUGAGGUCAAGUUUGUUCAUCACGUUCGCGAGAGAAGGUGUGCAUUCACGAGUGGUAAGUUGAGGAACCAUCGCGUUUGCGUACGAGAAUUUUGGUCAAAGUUAUUUUUGUGCUUCUCGAACGCGAGGCAUUUACCGCAUUCGCGCAGAAGGAAUUAAUGCCUGGUCAUAAGGUUUUUAAGCUCGUCUUGUGUGUGAUUUUGGGGCGUGGAAUUCGGACUUUUGAUUGUGGAUUUGAAGGACCAUUUGGGGCCGACUUUGAGAACUCUUAAUAUGUAUGAACUCAAUGGGAGAUAAGAAUAUAUUGGUGUAAAAAUUAUUGAAUUCCGAUACAUGGGCAUGGGUUUCGGGUAUUGGUAAUUUUGGGAUUUGUGUCCUUUACUGAUUGUUUUUGCUUGGGCUUCGUUCCAUUAGCAUAUUUCCCUCGUUCUAAUUUUGGAUAAAUUCGACGCACGUGGAGGACGAUUCUGGAGGCAAAGGCGUCGCGAGCUAGAGAUUUGACUGGUUCGACGUGAAUAAUGAUUGUAAAUGAUUUUCUGAGGGUUUGUAAUCCCGAAUUUGCACAUCAAAGUGCUAUAUUGAGGUGAGACACACGCUUGAUGACGAGCGUGGGUCAUGCACUAUUCUGGAUUGUGACUUGGUCGGUCCUGAUUGAUGAUUUUACCGCGUAUUUGACUAAAAUCUAUUUCAUCAUUAUUUGGGCUGAAUGGCAUAUUGGAGCUUCGUGGCAACUAUUUGAACCCUUAGACGAUUUUUAUUGACAUUUCCUCAUUGUUUUAACUUUAUACUUGAACACAAUCAUGUUAUUUUUCACUAUUUUCAUACUCAACCAUGUUUACAGUUUUAAGGCUUAAAUCAUAUUUUAAAUGAUGUUUGGGCUGAGAAACACUGUUUCAAUAUUGCCGAGGGGCUUAUGAGGAUUUUGGACUGAGUAAGGCCGAGGGCCUAUGUUGUGAGAAAACAAUGAUACUGAUUUGAGACCAAGGGCUUGAGAUAUAUAUGUCACUUGGUGAAUUGAUUGAUAUGAGGUCGAGGGCCUAGUGUUGAUACCAUAAGAUGUCUUGUUAUUGCGCUCGGGCCGUAAGGGGCCCCUCCACGAGUCUGUAUGCCCCCAGUGAGUACGCGUAUCCUUUGUGAUGUGAGAUUGAGCCCGAGAGGCUGGUAUUGUUCUGAGAUGUUGCCCAAGGGGAGGAUUUGUAGAUACUGUGCCCAAGGGGCGAACUUCUAUUUGUUUACUAUACCUUAAGUGCCCGUCAAUUACCUGUUUACUUGUUGAAAAUGUAUUUUACAUAACUUUUAACUAAACUACUACUUUUAAAUGGUUUUGCUGCUUCAUUAUUGAAUGCCUUGUGCCUUACGUGUUUUCUUACUUUCAAUCAUUAUAUACAUUUGUUACUCAUUGAGUUGGAGUACUCGCUUUACUUCCAGUACCCUGUAUGCAGAUUAAGGCAUAGCUAGUCCCACUCCCGAGUGCUUAUCAUUCCAACUUCACGCAGAUUCGAGGAGACUUUAGGUAGCCGUUAGCGUUCGCAGCCUGGAGCUCCUCCCUAUCUUUUUUACUUUAUGUCCUUAUUCAGUACUAAACUUUGUAGUUACAUUUUAGUAUUCAACGUUAGUAGAUCUUCGUGAAUUGUGAUACCUCGCUUAGGUCUGUGUUGAGUUGUAAUCUUGCAUUUUAUUGAUAUUAUUUGCUACUUCGUAUUAUUAAUCAUGUAUUAGACUAUUUUAUUAUUGUUUAAUUAUUUAAAAUCAAAUUGGGAAUAGUUGGUUGCUCUUGUCUUCACGAGAGACGCCAUUAUGAUCAUGUCCGACUUUUGGGUCGUGACAAGUUAGUAUUAGGACCUAAGUUACCUAGGUGUCACGAGUCAUGAGCAGGUUUAGUAGAGUCUCGCGAUCGGUACAGAGACGUUUGUAUUUAUCCUCGAGAGGCUAUAGAACCUUUAGAAAAAACUUGAUAUUCUUGAAAUUCUUGGCGUGCGAAUUUGUUGAUCCAAGUGUUAAACUUCUGUUAUUCUAUUCUCUCACAGAUGAUGAGGACACGUGCUAUCAGACAGGAUAGACGAUCACCAGUGCCAUCACGAUCGGGUCCAGGUUUAGGGUCGUGACAAGUAACAAUUUGGAAGAACACCAAAAAACAAUCAUUUGCCUCUAGUUUUUUUUCUUAGUUUAUAAUUUCAAGAGUAAAUUUAGAAUUAAAAACCAAAACUUUUUGUGGAAGUGCAGUUUCAGAUAUUCCUUUUACUUUCAUCAAGUGUAUACUCCUAAUACCCUUAGUAUCUACCUGUAAAAAUGGACCCCGACACUUGUUGGGUAUUAUUAUUUCUACAAUCAUUUCAAUUCACUAUUGAGUGUUGUUGGACGUGGAUUAUGUACUCCGUAACUGUCGAGCCUAACUCUGACGAUGUAGUGACGAGGCUAUUUCGGGACACCUACAUAAAUAAACCUAUACAAGCAUAUAUAAAGCAACAAAAUAACAUAGAAUUGUAAUGUAUAACAUGGGAGGGGACAUGCAAAAGGGGAAAAAUUAUAACAACUACAAUAGGUAUGGAAACACAAAAUAGCCAAGUAAAUCAUCAACCAAUGAAAUCAAAUAAACCAAUGAUAUAAAAAAGGCACGGCAUCGCCUUUCGUGAUUUUACUCUCAUAGUUACAAUGAAACGAUGAUAUAAGUAAAAUGAAAUAUUACGUCAUCACCUUUCGUGCUUUUAUUCGCAUCCUCACCAUGCAACAAUGAAUAAAUGAAAUGAAUGGCGCGACAUCAGCAUUUCGUUCUUUUACUCUCUUCCACACCAUGUAAUAAUGAAUGAAUAAGAUAAAUUGCACGGCUUAUCCUUCGUGCUUUUUUUCUCUUUCUCACCAUGUAGUGAUGAUAAUAUGAAUUCGAGUAAUAAAUUAUGCGGAAAAUGUAUUUAACGUCAAAUAUGAUGCCAUUAUACUAAAGUUCAACUUCCAGGAAUAUUUUCUAAUUAUAAAAUGACAUUAAUUACGAUAAUAAUAAUCUAUGAAACAAUAAUAUAACCUAAACUUGGAUAUCAUAAUAACAUAGCAAUAAAAUACAAUGAAACAAGUCCCCCCUACAUGUUUUAACCAAAUAACAAUGGAUAAGUACUCGUCACUUCAUAUAUACAUUGUUCCCACAUAUAAAACGCGUAGCAAAUAGACUAACAAGUCCUAAUUCCCCAAGUCAACGUUAACCACGGAACUUACCUUGCUCCAUAAUUAAAUUAAAGUUCAACCGGGCCCUUUUAUAUAAAGUUUGCCUCCAAACAAAUCUAAUAGAACCAAAUAUAGUUCAAACAAUUCAGAAUAAGCUUUAGAAACUAUCCACUAGAGAAAAAGGUUUAAUCUUUAAUUAUUUUGAAAAGAGUUAACAAAAGUCAACCCCGAGCGUGCUUGGUCAAAACUCAACAUUCGGACCAAAGCCGAAUUACCAUUUACCCCGAGCCCAAAUAUGUAAUUAGUUUCGAAAACAGACCUCAAUUUUAUGUC
rnacentral:lncRNA from 1 species